CGCCUGGAAAUUACGAGCUUUAGCUUGAAAUCCAAGGGACUUGACGGUGUUCUACCCUCCUAGAGGAGCCUGUCCUACAAUCGAUGAUCCCCGCUACACCCAACCAUUUCUUGCCUUAUUCAGCCUGUAUACCUCCGUCGCCAGCCCACCAUGUGAACGUUAGUGUUUUUGGCCUAAUUAUCAGCCUAAUAAAUACGUCAGGUCAAGGUGCAGCCUAUGAAAUGGAAUGAGAUGGGCUACAAUUUCUAAUUUAGAACACACGGAAACUCUAUAUGAAGUAUAGUUAUUGAAGGUGGAUUUAGUAGUAAAAAGAAAUUAGCGUGUUCUUUUUAACCAGGCGCUGGAACGUGUACAAACCGCCCGUCGCCCUCUUCGACAACAAACUAUAGUUACUAACACAAAUUGUUUAAGAGAAGAGGUAAGUCGUAACACGGUAAGUGUACUGGAAAGUGCACUUGGAUA
rnacentral:rRNA from 1 species